rnacentral:lncRNA from 1 species
AAAUUCUGGGCAAUAGUAGCACAGGGAGUCUCAUCCAAAGGAAAAAUUGUAAACAGCAGUAUUCCAUCCGAUGUGUGGUAUCAACACUUUCUCAAGCUAUACACACUCUCAAAUACUGCUAAUUUGAGUCCGCUCCUCCCAUUGAAGAAUGAGCAUCUAGUUAGUUGGGAUCCUGUUACGGAAUCAGAGUGCCUACAGCUAAUUAAAACUUUAAAAAAUGGCAAAGCUCCUGGCGAGGACAUGAUCCCCCCUGAGGUUUUUAAAUUAAAUGCCCAAUGGUGGGCCAUCUUUUGGCCAAACUUUUACGGCAAUGAACAACACAUGUAAAAUCCCAGCAAAUUGGAAACUAAGUGUGGUAGUCCCUAUCUAUAAGAAGGGAGACAUUCAAGAUCCAGCAAACUACCGCCCUAUAAGCCUUCUGGACAUCGCAUACAAACUUUAUACCCGGUACCUAUUAAACAAGCUGGUAGAUUGGGCGGACCAUUCUAACCUGUUCAACCAGGAACAGGCAGGAUUUAGAAAGGGCCACAAUACGAUAGGUCACUGUAUGGUACUACAGACCCUGGUAGCUAAAUAUGCAAAAGCGUAUAAGAGCAGACUCUUUGUGGCCUUCGUAGACUUGACAUCUGCCUUCGACUCAAUCUGUAGAGAUAGACUAUGGAAAAAAUUAUAUGAAACGGACAUUGACAGACGACUUUUAAAAAUUCUCAGAGAGUUACAUACAGACAUUACAGUCAAAAUCAGAACUGGGCCAUCGGGAACUCUUACGGACCCACUGCCAUUGGGGAAAGGGGUCAAACAGGGAUGCCUGCUAGCCCCAUUUCUUUUCAACUUUUAUAUAAACGACAUUGUCCAGUACAUGGCAAAGUACAAGUCAUCGGCUCCAGCCCUUGAAGGUAAACGCCUGAAUAUUUUGCUAUAUGCCGAUGACAUGGUUUUAAUGGCACUCACCCGAAGAGGCUUACGCAGCAUGCUGGAGGGGAUCGCAGCCUACUGUUCCCAUAAUUCACUAAAGAUAAACCAUGAUAAAACAAAAAUUGUGGUGUUUACUAGAGCUCGCCACACCUUUAGAUGGUCUUUAGAUGAACAAGUGAUUGAACAGUGCCCUUUUUUAAAUAUCUGGGUGUUACAUUCCAGGCUACAUCUAGCUGGCUAGCCCACUUUAAGGCUGUAACCAUCCUAACACGAAGAACAAUUGGUGUUUUGCUUAGUUUCUUCCAUACCAGGGGAGGACAAUUGGUGAUCCCGGCAUUAAGAGCUUUCGUUGGGAAAGCUAUUCCCCAGAUGUUAUAUGGGAUAGAACUCUGGGGGUGGAACCAGAGGCUGUUGGAACGGCUUGAAAUUUUGCAAAACUACUAUCUCAAGAAGAUUCUAGGCCUUCCUCAAGGAACCCCAGCAGCCUUCUUGAGGGUGGAGGUUGGUUUACCCUCUGUGUCUGCCAGGGCCCACUUAAGAUUCCUACGAUUUUACAUCAACCUUGCAAACUCUUCAAACACCUUAUUGGCCAAACAAGCCUUCGUAUCUUUUCAAAAGAAUACCACUUGGCGCCAAAACUUAUCUGAGAUCCUGGUUAGAUACACCCUACCGGAGUUUAAUAUCCUCAAACGGUGGAGCCCGGACAAAGUCCGGAAAUGGAUCCUGGAGAGAGACGCUCUGUUAGAUACCACAAAAAUACAGAUCCCAGGGUCCUCCCACUGGCUUCCCCGACUGAAAGCAGUCAAAAUCUGCGCCAACUACUUGGCGAAUAUCACCAAUCCCACUCUUCGGAGAGCCUUUACUAUGGCCCGUUUUCAAACCAUUCCUACGGCCUAUCUGUCAGGCAGAUAUGCAAAAAUCCCAGUAGAGCAGCGGAUAUGUCCUUGUUAUAUGAGAACCAAAGAGGAUCUCAUACAUUACAUGUUGUAUUGUCCCAUCUAUUCGGCCUUCAGGGAUGCGAUGUUACAAACUAUUCCUAAAUCAAUAGUCAACUCUGAGGACCAAGUAAAGUUUUUACUGGUAGACGCUGAUCCACGGAUUUCUCACGUGGUAGCGGUCUUUGUGGUGAAGGCUAUGAAAACUAGGGUAUGGUUCCUGGAUGAAACGGUGAGGUCCCUCCCAUUGCUCUCCUAACCUGUUGCUGUACCUUCUUCCUUGAAUGGUGGGGUUUUUUGGGUAGUUUCCUUGCUGGGACAACAUGGCAUGAAUUUUAGCUUACUUUUAUAAUCUUUUUGGUUUAUCUUUUAAUAAUGUUUUAUGGUAUUUUGUGUAAAGGCAUGGACCUCACAAAUUUAAUAAAUUUGUUGUUGUUG